AUACUUACCUGGCAGGGGAGAUACCAUGAUCAUGAUGGUGGUUCACCCAAGGUGAGGCUCAGCCAUUGCACUGAGGCUGUUGCUGACCUUUGCGAAUUCCCCAAAUGUGGGAAUCUCGACUACAUAAUUUUAUGGUAGUGGGGGACUGCGUCCGCGCUCUCCCCUG
rnacentral:snRNA from 1 species